rnacentral:rRNA from 1 species
UAACUGCGAGUGAAGCGGGAAGAGCUCAAAUUUAAAAUCUGGCGGUUUUGCCGUCCGAGUUGUAAUCUGGAGAAGCGUUUUCCGUGCUGGACCGUGUACAAGUCUCUUGGAAUAGAGCGUCAUAGAGGGUGAGAAUCCCGUCUCUGACACGGACUGCCAGUGCUUUGUGAUACGCUCUCGAAGAGUCGAGUUGUUUGGGAAUGCAGCUCAAAAUGGGUGGUAAAUUCCAUCUAAAGCUAAAUAUUGGCGAGAGACCGAUAGCGAACAAGUACCGUGAGGGAAAGAUGAAAAGCACUUUGGAAAGAGAGUUAAACAGUACGUGAAAUUGUUGAAAGGGAAACGCUUGAAGUCAGUCGCGUCUUCUGGGACUCAGCGUGGCUUCUGCCUCGUGUACUUCCCAGUCGACGGGUCAACAUCGAUUUUGGUUGGCGGAUAAGGGCGAGAGGAAUGUGGCACCUCCGGGUGUGUUUAUAGCCUCUUGUCGGAUGCGCUGGCUGGGAUCGAGGACCGCAGCACGCCUUUUUGGCCGGGGUUUACCCACGUAACGUGCUUAGGAUGUUGGCAUAAUGGCUUUAAGCGACCCGUCUUGAAACACGGACCAAGGAGUCUAACACGCCUGCGAGUGUUAGGGUGGAAAACCCUUGCGCGUAAUGAAAGUGAAAGUUGGGACCUCUGUCAUGGAGGGCACCGACGCCCGGCCCUGAACUUCUGUGACGGCGCUGCGGUAGAGCAUGUGUGUUGGGACCCGAAAGAUGGUGAACUAUGCCUGAAUAGGGCGAAGCCAGAGGAAACUCUGGUGGAGGCUCGUAGCGAUUCUGACGUGCAAAUCGAUCGUCAAAUUUGGG